rnacentral:rRNA from 1 species
AAACCAACAGGGAUUGCCCUAGUAACGGCGAGUGAAGCGGCAACAGCUCAAAUUUGAAAUCUGGCCUCGGCCCGAGUUGUAAUUUGCAGAGGAUGCUUCUGGCGCGGUGCCUUCCGAGUUCCCUGGAACGGGACGCCACAGAGGGUGAGAGCCCCGUAUGGUCGGACACCAAGCCUGUGUGAAGCUCCUUCGACGAGUCGAGUAGUUUGGGAAUGCUGCUCUAAAUGGGAGGUAAAUCUCUUCUAAAGCUAAAUACCGGCCAGAGACCGAUAGCGCACAAGUAGAGUGAUCGAAAGAUGAAAAGCACCUUGAAAAGGGGGUUAAAUAGUACGUGAAAUUGUUGAAAGGGAAGCACUUGUGACCAGACUUGGGCCGGGCGGCUCAUCAGGGGUUCUCCCCUGUGCACUCCGCCCGGCACAGGCCAGCAUCGGUUCCCGUGGGGGGAUAAGACCGCCGGGAACGUAGCACCCUCCGGGGUGUGUUAUAGCCCGGCGGACGAUACCCCCGUGGGGACCGAGGUUCGCGCUCCGCAAGGAUGCUGGCGUAAUGGUCACCAGUGAC